GUACACAAAAAUGCACAUGCUGUGAGCUCGAUGAGUAGGGCGGGACACGUGGUAUCCUGUCUGAAUAUGGGGGGACCAUCCUCCAAGGCUAAAUACUCCUGACUGACCGAUAGUGAACCAGUACCGUGAGGGAAAGGCGAAAAGAACCCCGGCGAGGGGAGUGAAAAAGAACCUGAAACCGUGUACGUACAAGCAGUGGGAGCACGCUUAGGCGUGUGACUGCGUACCUUUUGUAUAAUGGGUCAGCGACUUAUAUUCUGUAGCAAGGUUAACCGAAUAGGGGAGCCGAAGGGAAACCGAGUCUUAACUGGGCGUUAAGUUGCAGGGUAUAGACCCGAAACCCGGUGAUCUAGCCAUGGGCAGGUUGAAGGUUGGGUAACACUAACUGGAGGACCGAACCGACUAAUGUUGAAAAAUUAGCGGAUGACUUGUGGCUGGGGGUGAAAGGCCAAUCAAACCGGGAGAUAGCUGGUUCUCCCCGAAAGCUAUUUAGGUAGCGCCUCGUGAAUUCAUCUCCGGGGGUAGAGCACUGUUUCGGCAAGGGGGUCAUCCCGA
rnacentral:rRNA from 2 species